rnacentral:rRNA from 1 species
GAUGAACGCUGGCGGCGUGCCUAAUACAUGCAAGUCGAACGAGUUCUGAUUAUUGAAAGGUGCUUGCAUCUUGAUUUAAUUUUGAGCGAGUGGCGGACGGGUGAGUAACACGUGGGUAACCUGCCCUUAAGUGGGGGAUAACAUUUGGAAACAGAUGCUAAUACCGCAUAAAUCCAAGAACCGCAUGGUUCUUGGCUGAAAGAUGGCGUAAGCUAUCGCUUUUGGAUGGACCCGCGGCGUAUUAGCUAGUUGGUGAGGUAACGGCUCACCAAGGCAAUGAUACGUAGCCGAACUGAGAGGUUGAUCGGCCACAUUGGGACUGAGACACGGCCCAAACUCCUACGGGAGGCAGCAGUAGGGAAUCUUCCACAAUGGACGCAAGUCUGAUGGAGCAACGCCGCGUGAGUGAAGAAGGCUUUCGGGUCGUAAAACUCUGUUGUUGGAGAAGAAUGGUCGGCAGAGUAACUGUUGUCGGCGUGACGGUAUCCAACCAGAAAGCCACGGCUAACUACGUGCCAGCAGCCGCGGUAAUACGUAGGUGGCAAGCGUUAUCCGGAUUUAUUGGGCGUAAAGCGAGCGCAGGCGGUUUUUUAAGUCUGAUGUGAAAGCCCUCGGCUUAACCGAGGAAGUGCAUCGGAAACUGGGAAACUUGAGUGCAGAAGAGGACAGUGGAACUCCAUGUGUAGCGGUGAAAUGCGUAGAUAUAUGGAAGAACACCAGUGGCGAAGGCGGCUGUCUGGUCUGUAACUGACGCUGAGGCUCGAAAGCAUGGGUAGCGAACAGGAUUAGAUACCCUGGUAGUUCAUGCCGUAAACGAUGAAUGCUAGGUGUUGGAGGGUUUUCGCCCUUCAGUGCCGCAGCUAACGCAUUAAGCAUUUCGCCUGGGGAGUACGACCGCAAGGUUGAAACUCAAAGGAAUUGACGGGGGCCCGCACAAGCGGUGGAGCAUGUGGUUUAAUUUGAAGCAACGCGAAGAACCUUACCAGGUCUUGACAUUUUUUGAUCACCUGAGAGAUCAGGUUUUCCCUUUGGGGGCAAAAUGACAGGUGGUGCAUGGUUGUUGUCAGCUUGUGUCGUGAGAUGUUGGGUUAAGUCCCGCAACGAGCGCAACCCUUAUGACUAGUUGCCAGCAUUUAGUUGGGCACUUUAGUAAGACUGCCGGUGACAAACCGGAGGAAGGUGGGGAUGACGUCAAAUCAUCAUGCCCCUUAUGACCUGGGCUACACACGUGCUACAAUGGAUGGUACAACGAGUUGCGAGACCGCGAGGUCAAGCUAAUUUUUUAAAGCCAUUUUCAGUUUGGACUGUAGGCUGCAACUUGCCUACACGAAGUUGGAAUCGCUAGUAAUCGCGGAUCAGCACGCCGCGGUGAAUACGUUCCCGGGCCUUGUACACACCGCCCGUCACACCAUGAGAGUUUGUAACACCCGAAGCCGGUGGCGUAACCCUUUUAGGGAGCGAGCCGUUUAAGGUGGGACAAAUGAUUAGGGUGAAGU